AGCAGGAUAGUGAAAUGGUAUCACGCCAGCCUCCUUAGCUGGUAUUCUAGGUUCGAUGCCUAGUCCUGCAACCA
rnacentral:tRNA from 2 species